rnacentral:rRNA from 1 species
CCUACGGGUGGCAGCAGUAGGGAAUUUUCGUCAAUGGGCGCAAGCCUGAACGAGCGAUGCCGCGUGAGUGAAGAAGGCCUUCGGGUCGUAAAGCUCUGUUGCCGGGGAAAAAAGGCAGCAUCAGGAAAUGGGUGCUGACUGAUGGUGCCCCCCCAGAAAGUACCGGCUAACUACGUGCCAGCAGCCGCGGUAAUACGUAGGGGGCGAGCGUUAUCCGGAAUGAUUGGGCGUAAAGGGUGCGCAGGCGGUCCUGCAAGUCUGGUGUGAAACGCAUGGGCUCAACGCAGGAAUGGCAUUUGAAACUGGAGGACUGGAGAGCAGUAGAGGGCGGUAGAACUCCAGGUGUAGCGGUAAAAUGCGUAGAGAUAUGGAAGAACACCAGUGGCGAAGGCGGCCGCCUGGACUGAGGCUGACGCUGAGGUACGAAAGCGUGGGGAGCAAACAGGAUUAGAUACCCGUGUAGUC